rnacentral:rRNA from 1 species
GAUGAACGCUAGCGGCAGGCCUAACACAUGCAAGUCGAGGGGUAGAGGAAGCUUGCUUCCUUGAGACCGGCGCACGGGUGCGUAACGCGUAUGCAAUCUACCUUUUACAGAGGGAUAGCCCAGAGAAAUUUGGAUUAAUACCUCAUAGUAUUUUCGAAUGGCAUCAUUUGAUUAUUAAAGCUCCAACGGUAAAAGAUGAGCAUGCGUCCUAUUAGCUAGAUGGUAAGGUAACGGCUUACCAUGGCAACGAUAGGUAGGGGUCCUGAGAGGGGGAUCCCCCACACUGGUACUGAGACUCGGACCAGACUCCUACGGGAGGCAGCAGUGAGGAAUAUUGGACAAUGGGCGCAAGCCUGAUCCAGCCAUGCCGCGUGCAGGAAGACGCAUCUAUGGUGUGUAAACUGCUUUUGUACGGGAAGAAACACUCCCUCGUGAGGGAGCUUGACGGUACCGUAAGAAUAAGGAUCGGCUAACUCCGUGCCAGCAGCCGCCGUAAAAC